rnacentral:rRNA from 1 species
GAUGAACGCUGGCGCCGCGCCUAACACAUGCAAGUCGAACGGCACCCCUCUCCGGAGGGAAGCGAGUGGCGAACGGAUGAGUAACACGUGGAGAACCUGCCCCCUCCCCCGGGAUAGCCGCCCGAAAGGACGGGUAAUACCGGAUACCCCGGGGUGCCGCAUGGCACCCCGGCUAAAGCCCCGACGGGAGGGGAUGGCUCCGCGGCCCAUCAGGUAGACGGCGGGGUGACGGCCCACCGUGCCGACAACGGGUAGCCGGGUUGAGAGACCGACCGGCCAGAUUGGGACUGAGACACGGCCCAGACUCCUACGGGAGGCAGCAGUGGGGAAUCUUGCGCAAUGGGGGGAACCCUGACGCAGCGACGCCGCGUGCGGGACGGAGGCCUUCGGGUCGUAAACCGCUUUCAGCAGGGAAGAGUCAAGACU